rnacentral:rRNA from 1 species
GUAGGGUGCAAGCGUUAAUCGGAAUUACUGGGCGUAAAGCGUGCGCGGGCGGUUAUGCAAGACAGAGGUGAAAUCCCCGGGCUCAACCUGGGAACUGCCUUUGUGACUGCAUGGCUAGAGUACGGUAGAGGGGGAUGGAAUUCCGCGUGUAGCAGUGAAAUGCGUAGAUAUGCGGAGGAACACCGAUGGCGAAGGCAAUCCCCUGGACCUGUACUGACGCUCAUGCACGAAAGCGUGGGGAGCAAACAGGAUUAGAUACCCUGGUAGUCCACGCCCUAAACGAUGUCAACUGGUUGUUGGGAGGGUUUCUUCUCAGUAACGUAGCUAACGCGUGAAGUUGACCGCCUGGGGAGUACGGCCGCAAGGUUG